GCCUCGCGCUUCCGGCGGCCGGGAUGGCCAGGGUGCCUGUGGGCCGCGUGUCCUGAGCGCAGGUCCUUCGGUCCUGGGAGGGAGCCGUGGGCGGAUUUCAGCCCUCCGGGCCGGUCAGUCUUGCUCCGAGACCCUGGAGAUGCGAUAAGCGGCAGGAGCUGGUGUCGCGCCGCGAGUUUGGGAAGAAUCCCCGGCGGCUGGGAGGCCGGACGGCCGCCCUGCCUUAAACCCAGGGCCGAUUUCUUCGGGCCUCAGCGGCCCGCCUCGCACUUUCCGGCCGCCCCGGCAGCCCCUCCUCCGGUCCACUGUUUGGCCAUCUAUCUGGCUCCUCGCCAAGCAGGGUGGCCUUGAGGCCUUAUGUUCAGAAGUCGCACCGACCUGGAGGCCCGGGUGCGCGGAAGGGGCACUGCAACGACCAGUUUACAAAGAGCCCCAGGACCAGAGGACCGGACUGCUCUUACUGUAGUUCUUGUGAAAAAGAAAAGGAGCCAAUGUUUCCAUUAAUGCUUCAAGAAUGUUCAGAACUCGACGGCGCCAAAGGAUUGCAGAGCAGAGCGGCUGAAGAGCCGUGAACAAUUCCAAAGGCUGUGGCCUCCAUUCCCAGUGAAGCCCGAAUUACAACUUGCCAACCUACUAAGCCUUCCUCCUCCUCUUUCACGUGGAUCCGCGUUUCUUGUUCUUCAUUGCUUCGUCUUCCCUUAGAGCGAAGGAAUCUGUCAUUUAACGGGGGAUACACCGAGGAGCCAAGAGUUUAUCUUUUCAGCCUGUGUCACAGUUGGAGGGAAAGUUGCUAAGUGACUUCUUAAGAAGAGAGAGAGUAGGGCAUUUUCUGUUUUCCCUUCACAAAACAUUUUGUUGUUGUUUGAGGCCUUAGUUGUUUUUUAUUUUUUCCUUCCGGUGGGCCCCCUACCCAGAGAGGUUCAGGUCCCUGGAAGAGAAACUUUACCGAUGUGAUUACGUUAAGAAUCUUAAAGAGAUUAUCCUGGAUGGUCCAGUGGGCCCAGUGUAAUCGGAAAGGUCCUUACCAGUAGGAGGUGGGCGCGUCAGAGUCCAUGUGUCAAUGGAAGCAGCGGCUGGAGUGGAUGCAGUGGGAGAAAGACCCAGCCGAACAAUGAUGGCUUUGAACAUUGGAGGAAGGGGACCCAGGUCCCAGAAUGCAGGUGGCCUCGGAAAGGGAGAAAAAGUCGGGAAACAGAGUCUUCCUUUGAGCCUCCAGGGGGAACACAGUCUUGCCGACACCUUGAAUUGAGCACACUGAGACCAACUGUGGACUUGCGGCCUUCGGAGCAGGAAGGCUCCUGUUGCUCCAGUAUUCCUUCCAUUUUCUCUGCAAAGUGAAUGCCUGAGCACCAGUGAGGAAGCCGAAGCACUUGCAGAUGUCUAAAGGUCCUGAAACUGGGCUCUGGGGGGUCCAGGGUUGCUAUGGGGACCACCUGGCUUCUUCCCUCUUAACAUAGGAGGAAAUUAUUUUGUCCACCUGGUGGUGGAGGGAAAACUCCACAGCAGAGAAACCCAUCCUGCUUCUCAAGGACACUGAGGGAUGUUGAUGGGAAGAGGGAAAAGGCCCCUCCGGGUGCCGGAGGCAGGCGAGGCCAACCUCGGGGGUCCCCGCUGUGCGCCAGUGCUUCUUCAUGGACUGUCCUAAGGAAAUGUCGCUAUGGAGGUGGGGUUAGCAAUGGUCAUGCUUUGGGGCUAGACCUCAGGAACUGGCCUGAGGACAGGUGGGAAGAGAAUGGUACCCAUCACAGUUGGUUUCUCAUUUAAAAACAAACAAACAAAAACUUUGUAUCCCAUCAACAUUCUCAUUUACAGAGCCAGCACUGUCUCUGGAAUUGGAGACAGUUUCAAGUCAUAGGUCUCCACUUAGCGGUGGUGUCACUUUGGCAACUCACUUUGCCUGGAUGCGAUCCCAGUUCAUCUGCAGAACACAGAUAACACCUACCCUGCACAUCGUGGGGAAGAUAAAAAUAAUGUAUGUAAAAUACCUGGAAAAUAAGCAGCCCUCAAAUGAUAGCCAUAUUAUUCAUAAUCAAGGAAACAGGAGGCGAGGAUUUCUCAAGGUUGAGCAGCUGGUGGAUAAAUGGUGGAACCAAGACCCCAUCCUCAAUCCAAGUCUUCUGUUACUUACUCAUCCAAAGCCCCUUCACUCCCCAGAACCUUUUGUGGCCAAGGGCCGGCCCUCCGAGGCAAAGCUUCCCCGCCAGGCUCUCACAGAAAGCAGCCAGGGCUGCUUCUGAGGUCGGCCUCCACCCAGACCCUGCUGGAAGCGGCGCGCUGCACAGCUGCACACAUCUGGAACCCCGCCGGCCUGGAACCCCGAGGGGCGUGCAGCCUGCAGAACCCCCUCUGCGCAGGGAGCCGUCAGGGUGACUGUGUGCAUCUCCUCCGUCCUGCAGAUGCCCCCCCCCGCCCCUCCCCACUCCUGCCUGCGCGCGGAGGGGCCCUGAUCCCGCGGUCACAGUGGACCCCCGGGCGGCGCCAAGCGCAGUCUGGGUGGGGCAGCUCCCGGCGCGCGUCCCUUCGGGGAGCCGGCCCUUCCAGCCCAGGCGGCUGGGGCGGCGGGGUGGGGGGGCAGCGAGGGGCGCAGGGAGCCCCGGGCGCGCACACGGCUGCAAACUUGAGCCAAGAGCCCUCGCUUUCGCCCGCGUGGACGAUCGGAGGUGCCCGCCAGGGAGGCCCCAGGCAGCCGCCGCCCCGGGCGGCCGGGAGGCGUCGGGAGGGGGGCCCGGCGCGGCGGCGCUCGGCCCGCCCUGGCCCGCGGCCCGCAGGGUUCAGACGGGGCCAGGACGGCCGAGAGGCGGCCGGCCUGCGCCAGGGGCUGCGGCCAAGGCUGACGCGGGGCGCUCAGUAAUGCUUGGACCAGCCGGCGCGGCCCCAGGGCUCCGCGGGGCCGCGCGGCAGGGACCCUCCCCGGGCAGCGCAGCCAAGCCGCCUGCGGCGUCCUCCAGCUUGGGCGGCAUCCCCGCGUCCCGCGCGCCGAGGCCGGGAAACGCGGACUUGGUCCCUGGACGCGUCCCUUCAGGGCUGCACAGCCCUGGCGACAAGGGGGAGCCCUGAGGAGACGGUGGGAGGAAGGGAAACUCGGGCCCGUUCUUCGUUCUCCUGUGCGGUCCGCCCGCGCACACGCCGGCUGCGCGCAGCGAGGAGGGGCCGGCGCGUCCAGAAAGUCUGCACUUGCUUUACCUGCAGGACAAGCACAGGGACCCAGAAGCUGGCCUGUGCUUCUCGGCGCCCCCCACCCCCACCCCGGGCAGCUUCCCGGAGCUCUCACUUAUCCAGCCUCAUUGUGAUUCAAAAGACUAAACCGGAGAAGCUUUGCGUUUUACUGGGUACUUUCAGUCCUUCCUCUCCGAGCCACCUUGGGACCAGGCAGGGCUGGCAUCUAUUCAUUUCACAGGUGAGGAAGCCCAUCGGUGAGCGGAGUCUGACGCUUCCGUGCCCUCGGCCUAGCUAGGCUCUAGCAAACGGAGGCUGAAGGCCCUGUUCCCUGUUCUGUCUUGGCAGGCGGCCAAGUUCCUUUAGGGAUGGCCUCUAUUUCUCUGCGAAUUAGGGCUGAGUCACUGCUACCUGGAGAGGUGAUGACAGUAAGUGACAAGGAAGCAGGUUCUCCUUAUGGCAGAAGAAAUUGCUGCGAGUGGCCUUUUUAGAUGCUUCCCUUCCGGUUGGGAGCCGGGCACUCCUGGCCCUAGAGCAGGGAUUCUGUCUUGUCCCCGGACUCUCAGCAGGAACAUUACCCCGGAGCUUGUUUGCACAUUAUCCCAGACCCACCGAACCAGACCCUCUGGAGAUAGAGGCCAGCAAUUUUUGCUUGAAGAGGCCUCGAGACCAUCCUGUCUGAAGAACGACUGAUCUAGAAAAACCUCUGUACUGGCGAGGUGGGCCCUGCAUCCAAAGGGCUGAGGGCCACACUGCUUAGAGGCCCAAGAAGGCAAGAAAUGGACCGGGAAGUCCAUGGUUAGCUACCACGUAAUAGUCCAUUCCUCAGUCUCUGUUGUGUGUGUGUAUAAACCUUCGUAGCUCCAUAAAAUAUAGGUAAGAAAGGAGACUUUUAGGGCCCCAUACGAAAUUCCAUUCACAAACUCACUCAACGCACAAACACACUCUAAGUACCUGCUAUGGACCAGCCACUCAACAGGCUCAGGAUGAGCUGGAUGUUAGCUGACUCUUGAAGUUGAAACAGAUGCAACCAGGUCAUUUCAUGAAAUGGAACUUCACAGUUUUGGUGCGUGAGGUAAUCCGUGGAGCAGACGCUGCUGUGCCCUUCCCCCUGGCUGGCAGAAGUGUGGCACAGGCUGGGUUAAAGUACAGAGCCAGCCAGGGAUUGGGGGGAAGCUGCAUUUCUUCCUGCUGGCCCAGUGAUUGACUUGGAAGUGGGCAUCAGAUCAGGUGUGAUGCUGGCCAGUGAGAUAUGGGGGGGGGGAGCACUUGCUGGGGAGCUAGCCGAUGGAGAAUUUUCCUCCCUCUUUAAAAGGGGCAUAAGGAAAGUCCAUUCCCUUGUUUGUUUUUGGAUGUCGUUACCUGGAACCGCCGCAAUCCUUCUGGACAAGGAAAGAAAUUAGCCUAGAAGGGCAAGCAGCAUACUGGGGUGACAGGGAAGAAAAUCAGGAAACAUCUGGCAUCUUCAUGACAUUGUUGAGCCAUUAAAUUAAUUGACCUUGGUGGCAGUGAGGGUGGGGGCGUGUGUUCGAGGAGAGUGGGGGGCAGGGGGAGCAGGGGAACCCUCAGGAUUUUCUUAUUAAAUGAGAUAAGUAUUUUUCAUAUUUUGACCACUUUUAGUUGGGUUUUCUGUUAUUUGCAGCCCACAUCAUCCUAAUAGAAUGGAUGCGGCUAGAAUCCCACUGGAAUACAUGAGCAGCAGGGAAAAAAGUCUGAUGGAACAUCAGAGGGGGUUACUGAGAGACCGCUCGGGACUUCUGGCACCUCUAAACACUGGAUUACUGUGUCUCCCAUAUCUGUCUGAGGAGUCCCCAGCUGUUACCUUCUUGUCAUCCGCCCCCUUUUUGAGACCCCUGUUUUCUCUUUUCUACCAACUGGCUGGUACGCUCUAUAAUUUCCAGUUCAACUUUCCAAGAAUGAGACCCUGGUUGGCCUCAUUAACUACGCUUUUUCGGAUCCUUGUGGGCCACUGGUCAGUCUGUGAAGUGGCUGUCCUUGAACCAGUGUCCCACCCCUAGUCUAGUUGGCCAGGGAAAGGAGGGGGGACGGCCAGCCCCAACUCCGCCCGAGGCUCAGGUGGUGGGCUGGGCAGGUGCCCUUAGGAGGAAACAGUGCUCUCGGCAACUCCCGAGAUGGACUUGCCAGCACAGCAAGUUCAUGGGGCACAAUGAAAUGGCAGUGCCAAGCCAACCAGGGUCAGAGCAAAGGAAUCCACGCCUACCACAAGCCCCCUCUGCUGUAGAUCUGUUAUAGACCCAAGAGUAAGGGGUGCCUGGCCAGAUGCCUGCCCAGAUCCUAGAUCUGCCCCAAACACAGCCACACUGCUCAAGAAACAUCCCCGCCCCAAGUGCUCCCCCGCAUCCUUCCGCACAGGAAGCAGACACGCUGCUGUGGUCCACAUGACUUUUCCACAUGUCACUUUAUGGCAGCUGUUGUGAGAGUUGUUUUGUUGCCUCCGUCACGGUGGAACCCUUUGCAGCACAGCAGGGUGUCGGGAUGUGUGAGCAGCAGCAGCAAUGAUGGCUCGGGAGCCGAACUGAGGGCACACAGAGGAUUCCCUAACUCGGAGCUGAAAAAAUGCACGUGGGAUGGAGGUUCCUGGAACCCACAUGGGAGAGCGCGACACUGCUUCUGCCGUGUUUACGGCAUUCUGAUAGUAUGUGUGUGGUUCUUUCCUUAAGAGCAAGUUAUCGCACGUGGAAGGGGUGCAACCGGAGGUGCUUCUGUCGCUCAUUAGUUCUGUAUCCUUAGGCGGGUCGCUCAAACUUUCUGAGCCUCCGUGUCUUCAUUGGUGAAACGUGCCCGGUGAUACUUCAACUUGGAGAAUUGCCGUGAUCCUUAUAUACAGUAAGGCCCCCGAGAAAAUGUUAAGCACAGGAUAUUAUAACGUAAUAUUAUAGGGGUCAUUCUAAAAGACCCCUUCCCUGGGGUGGGUGGACUAUCAGAUUAUUUUGAGAGAAUCACAGUCUGAAGCUCCGGAUGGUGCCAUUGACCGGGUGCUGUGGUGUCUGUCACCCAGCUCAACAAAUGAGCUGGGGAUUCCAUGUGGUCAUCACAUCGGAGAUGAGAAAUGCCUAUAAGGUGCCCAGUGGUUGGUGGGACAUUAAGAAGGAGACACUUGGGUGAAUGUGAACCUGCAUAGGAAAUGGAGAGGAAGCCACGGCAGCGUCAGGAGCCGAGCCCCGGUGCGAGUCAUCAUUUGAUGCUACCUCAGGUGUGGAGCAGGACCCAGGCCUGAUACUGGCUGGAACUCUGAGACCCUGGGGAAGGAGCUCCAGUUCACCAGGGAGCAGAGGCCACUGCUAGCAGCCAGGGAAUGGUGCUGAGGCAAGCCGCUCGGCACUGGGACAUGGGCCCGCAGUGGGAAUGGGACUCUCAGGAGUGGGGAGGCAAAGGACCUUUGGGGGAGUGGGAAACAUAUUUAGGAACUUGUGGGACUCGAGUCAGGAAAGGUCUCUUCGAGCCCUGAGAGCACGCACGAGUCCAGUGUAGCUACCUGAGUCUCUAGGAUGAGAGCCGAGCCUGGUCACCACCUUGAUUUUAGCCUUGUGAUAGGCUGAGUGGGAACCAGCCACUCCAUGCUACUUUCAAAACUUGAGUUGCAAGAUAGUAAGAGGUGUUGGUUUAAGGCUCUAAAUUUGUGAUGAGUUCUGUGCAGAUCAGGGAAGUCCAGUGUGUUGCAGGCUUAGGACCUAGAGAUGUGUCCACCUUCAUCCUACGUAUAAUUUAGUGUUUCCCACCUUUGUUUCCCAUUAGCUUAUUUAUAUAUUUUUUAAAAGUCACAACCUGAUCACUAAGAAUCAGGAAGUAUUUGUACCGAAAUGCCAAUAAAAUAUAAGAAAACAUAAGAAAAAUAUAAAGUUUGCAUUCUGCUUCUAUCAGUUGGUGUGGCUUUGGGAAAGUCUCUUAACCUACCUGCAUCUUAGUUUCUCAUCUUUAAAACAAGAAUUAUAAUGUUUAUUUACUGUGUUUGAAUCAGAUUCAAGCCACAUAAUGUAUUCCAAUGUGCUUUAUAAAAUAUGAAGCUGUACAGAGAUGAAAGCCAUUCUUUUUCUGAAGCCAGAACAAACAACAGGAUGUCUGGGGAAGCCAGGUGAGCCAGUGGCAGUGAAAAUCUAGCUAGAAAAUCUAGUCGCCUGAUAGAGAAAAGAAAAGUAAUAAGGAGAGCCCCUAGGAGAAGGAGCUAAGAAGUAGCUACAAGAGCUGUUUCUCCUCAAGAGUGCUUUCAGGAGUUCCCGUCAUGGCGCAGUGGUUAACGAAUCCGACUAGGAACCAUGAG